rnacentral:rRNA from 1 species
UACAGAGGUCUCAAGCGUUGUUCGGAUUCAUUGGGCGUAAAGGGUGUGUAGGUGGCGCGCUAAGUCGGGUGUGAAAUUUCGGAGCUUAACUCCGAAACUGCAUUCGAUACUGGCGUGCUUGAGGACUGGAGAGGAGACUGGAAUUUGCGGUGUAGCAGUGAAAUGCGUAGAUAUCGUAAGGAAGACCAGUGGCGAAGGCGGGUCUCUGGACAGUUCCUGACACUGAGGCGCGAAAGCUAGGGGAGCAAACAGG